CCUGGCGGCACUAGCGCGGUGGUCCCACCUGACCCCAUGCCGAACUCAGAAGUGAAACGCCGUAGCGCCGAUGGUAGUGUGGGGUCUCCCCAUGUGAGAGUAGGGAACUGCCCCCU
rnacentral:rRNA from 1 species